UCCUACAGCUAUAUCACCCUGAUUGUGUCCAGUCUUGUCUGAUCUUGGAAGCUAAGCAGGAUUGAGCCUGGUUAGUGCUUGAAUGGGAGACCACCUUGGCAAACCAGGUGCUGUAGACU
rnacentral:rRNA from 1 species